CCUCCAUGCAUAGCAGCCUUCUGGCUCUUAUAUUUAUUGUAGGACGGUUUUUAAAUUAGUGUAAUAUUCCAAAUUUCUAUUAGUAUAUUUUUAUGCAGUAAUUACCUCCGCCAUUACCUCCGCCAGGAGGUUAUGUAAUCAUCUGGGUUUGUAUGUGUGUGUGUGUGUGUGUAUGUGUGUGUGUGCGUGUAUGUGUGUGUGUUUGUUUGUCUGUGAGCACGAUAACUCAAGAAAUUCCAAACAUAUCCGUACGAAAUUUUGUGAGUGCAUUUCCCAUCGGCUAAGGAAGAACUGAUUAAAAUUUGGUUGAAUUUGGUUAAAAAUUGAAUGAGAAAUAACAAAAGUUUGUCUUGCUUUUCCCGGUCAAUUAAAUAAAACUUUAUACUGAAUGCGUAAUUAGGACGUGCAUAAUAUAUGCACCAGCCAUUCAAAUUCUAAUAAAUAACAAUUGAUUACUUCAAUAUUUUGCGCGUAGGCGGAGGUAUGCAGUCUCUGAGUGCCCUCUAGUUGUAUGUGUGUGUGUGUGUGUGUGUAUGUGUCUGUGUUUGUCUGUGAGCACGAUAACUCAAGAAAUACCAAACAUAUUGAUACGAAAUUUUUUAAAUGCAUUUCCCAUCGGCUAAGGAAGAACUGAUUAAAAUUUGGUUGAAUUUGGUUAAAAAUUGAACGAGAAAUGAAUACAAUUUUGUCUUGCUUUUCCAGGUCAAGUACAAAAAACUCACUGAAUGCGUAGUUAGGACGUGUAUAAUGUAUGCACACAGUACUAAGAAGACAAUAAUGAGAUGAUAAACCUCAUUAAGCUUCAGCAUUCAUUAUCUAUUGUCUUAGUUGCAUUUCACACGACCGAAAUUCAAUGGGGGCGGAGGUAUGCAGUCUCUGAGUGCCCUCUAGUUAUAUCAUGUAAUGCGCGAGUGAGCAUCUUCCUAUGUAACACGCGCAAUAUAAAUUUUUAAAAUAAAUUGAAUUGGAGUCGGUAUGCAGUCACGCAUAUUGUUGCCGGGGACAUUUCAAGCUCCAGAUCAACAAAGUAGAGGUUUGAUGAGUGUUCCAACUAUGUUUAACUUGCACAUGAUAGUCGGUUGAGAAAGCAUUAAGAACAGCGAACCAAGGACGCGGAACGGCCAACUCUCAUGCACUCUCAUCGUCGUUUGAUCCGGGCUUAAGGUGGAAGAUUUGUGUUACAAAGAUUUACCUUCUAAAACAUGCUCUAGAACUCUGGAUUUACCGUUCACACACAGGUUCAAGUUCACAUGCACUCUAAUUUACCACUUGUUGGCACUUGUAUAUUCUGCGCGUGUGAUUUGUUAAAUGGCGAGGCCGGUAAUAUUUUGAAACGUUUAGCCUAUAUAGAAAUUCCCGAGUUUACGAAAAAUACUAUUUUAGUUGUUUUUAAAUUUUCUAGAGAAAUUCAAAAAUUUUAAACAUUGUCAGAACGAUCAAGAUUGACAGUUUCUUGGUUCUCAUAUAGUCCGCUUCGUUAAAUAUACCAUUCACCUAAACCGCAAAUCGGCCCGCCCGUUUUUUAACAUUAUGCAUUACAUGAAUUUGUAUUUUGAACUUUUGAUCUAUAACAUCAUCGCUUUAAGACUAUAUUUAGGCAAAAUGUUUAGCAAAUUAAAAUGACUGCGUGCUAUUAAAUUUCGCUCA
rnacentral:lncRNA from 1 species